GACGAACGCUGGCGGCGUGCCUAAUACAUGCAAGUAGAACGCAGUUGCGAACGGGUGAGUAACGCGUAGGUAACUGCCUCUUAGCGGGGGAUAACUAUUGGAAACGAUAGCUAAUACCGCAUACUGUGUGAUGGAACUGCGUUGUAUUAGGUAGUUGGUGAGGUAAAGGCCAACCAAGGCGACGAUACAUAGCCGACCUGGGAGGGUGUACGGGCAAACUGGGACUGGGACACGGGCCAGACCCCGACGGGAGGGAGCAGUAGGGAAACUGUGGCAAUGGACGGAAGUCUUACCGAGCAACGGCGCGUUGUGGAAGAAGGUUUUCGGAUCGGAAAGAUCUGUUGUUAGGGAAGCGGUAACUAACCAGAAAGCGACGGCUAACUACGUGCCAGCAGCCGCGGUAAUUC
rnacentral:rRNA from 1 species